GUCCAUCUUAUCUGGUGUUUUAGUUGUGAGUUGUUUAUUUUACCUAUGUUUUUUUAUUGUUUUAUUAGUUGUUUAUUUUAUAUAUGUUAGACUUCUAUAAAACAUGAAAUAACAGAUGUUUUUACAGAACAGCAACUUUUAUUUCCCCUUUUACAUGACAAAAUAUCUAAGUCAUUGCUAGCAACAGUAAUUCAGACUUUUAUUUUAAACUUUUAGUCAGACUAAAUAAUUUUCAAAUAGGACAUUUGACCUUUGUGAUGCAUUGCAUCUCUUCAGAUGACCUGCAAUGCUUAUUUUGGGAGGAACAUAUGAUUAUCACCAUGUUCAUGAUGUCCUAGAUUGAAUCUUUGUGAAUUUCUGGGUCUGAUGUUUAUUAUGAUGUUUUGUAUAUACUGUUGUGAUCAUUGUUUGAUCAAAGGGAGGAAUGUAAUGGAAAAUGUUACCGUUAUACCGCACUAUAUAUUAUCUGGGUUUUGGCUUGGCCAGGAGGCUCGCACACACGCACGCACGCACGCACGCACGCACACACACACACACACACAGUUCACAUACACACACACACACACACACACACAGUUCAACUCUUCACACACAAACAUUUAUCCAUUGCAUCUGCAUAAAAUAAAUCGUUAUUUCAGAAGUCUCACCAGGUCAAAUUUCCAUCACAAGGUCCUGCGGUCAACUUUUUAAAAUCCAUUUAGACUGUAACUCACCAGUAUUUCACUAGUGAGCUAGAAACAAACUGUCAAGACAAAAACAAGAAGUUUUGAGUACUGUCUGAUCACAAUAAUAUGGCCAAUCUGUAUAAUCUGUAUUAUUUAUAUGUACAAUUCAAUCUGCACAUUAUUCUUGUACAAUCUAAUAAAUAGAUAAAAGGGAA